UCUUGCAAACUAAAGAAUGGCGACCGGCGCACGGGUGAGUAACACGUAUCCAACCUGCCGAUAACUCGGGGAUAGCCUUUCGAAAGAAAGAUUAAUAUCCGAUGGUAUAUUAAAAACCGCAUGGUUUUACUAUUAAAGAAUUUCGGUUAUCGAUGGGGAUGCGUUCCAUUAGUUUGUUGGCGGGGUAACGGCCCACCAAGACUACGAUGGAUAGGGGUUCUGAGAGGAAGGUCCCCCACAUUGGAACUGAGACACGGUCCAA
rnacentral:rRNA from 1 species